rnacentral:lncRNA from 1 species
UCAUCAAAUGCUCCGGUUGGGUCAACAUCUCAUAUGUCAAGUCUGGUUCAAUAUAUCUCGUCAUUAAAACAUUUACAUAAAAAUCAUGUACAACAGAGAUUUACAAUAAACAUUAGAGCCAAACACAAUACUAAUUCUCAUUACAUUACUUUACAUUACAUUACAUGUCCACUAUAACUCUAUUACAUGACAUAGCCAUUACCCUUGCUGACUUCCUGCUAUCUCUGACCCUGCAAACCUGGGGGUUAGGGAAAAUGGGUGAACUACAAAAGUCCAGUGAGCAGAACAUUAAAAACGGUUCAUUAAACAUAUGCUUUCAUGAGAUGCAUCACAUCACAAACAAUUCACAUCACAAACAAUUCACAUCAAUGAUGAACUUGUCACCAAUUGCCCUCUACAUAAUCCAAUGUGCUCGGCCCACAACGGGAGCUCCUUAGGACUUUCGAUUAACAUAUCAUAACAUAACAUAUCCAACUGUGCCAGGGGCGUAGAAUGGGUCUCGACUUAGACUUUCUCUUACUCUGUGCCAGGGGCGUAGAAUGGGUUUCGACCUGAACUUUCAUACUAUGUCAUAUCAUAUCAUAUCAUAUCAAGGGUCAAUAGGUCAUCCAACAUCCAUCCAC